rnacentral:rRNA from 1 species
GACGAACGCUGGCGGCGGGCUUAACACAUGCAAGUCGAACGGAAAGGCCCUGCUUUUGUGGGGUGCUCGAGUGGCGAACGGGUGAGUAACACGUGAGUAACCUGCCCUUGACUUUGGGAUAACUUCAGGAAACUGGGGCUAAUACCGGAUAGGAGCUCCUGCUGCAUGGUGGGGGUUGGAAAGUUUCGGCGGUUGGGGAUGGACUCGCGGCUUAUCAGCUUGUUGGUGGGGUAGUGGCUUACCAAGGCUUUGACGGGUAGCCGGCCUGAGAGGGUGACCGGCCACAUUGGGACUGAGCUACGGCCCAGACUCCUACGGGACGCAGCAGUGGGGAAUAUUGCACAAUGGGAGGAAGCCUGAUGCAGCAACGCCGCGUGCGGGAUAACGGCCUUCGGGUUGUAAACCGCUUUCGCCUGUGACGAAGCGUGAGUGACGGUAAUGGGUAAAGAAGCACCGGCUAACUACGUG